rnacentral:lncRNA from 1 species
AACUGGCGUCUUCAGGUGACGUAGACAAGGAGGAGAGCGGCACAGUUGCUGGUGUAGAGAGUGAAGCGGUGGUAGAAAGCACAGAGACUGAGGGGACAUAACAUCACUCAGUAGUUGUUCCUGUGCUCAUUCAGUGAGCUUCCCUCGCUGGUCCAAUAUUCUCUUCUGGAGUAAUCACCUGCAGCUACCCUUCUUAGCAAGAUGAUGAAUGAAGUCCUGGCAGCUUCCAGUGUCCCAGGCCUUGUAGAAAUAAGUGAGACAGACGUGCUUCAAAGUUCUAAUGAGCGUCACACCGGAAGCAUUAAAAGGAGCCCCGCCGUUGCCUGUUGAGAAGGCUCUGUGCUCUCAGGCGCGGUUUCUGAUUGAAUGCAGAGGUCACACGCAUGCCUCCCUGUAUUACCUGUCGGAGCAGGUUUAAUUUUAUAAAUUCUAGACACAAACUCUAUGAGUUUCUAGUUCAUAGUUGUUCUUUUUGAGGAUCCACUCAGACGAACAGUAUUACAUCCAUAAGAGAUACGCGCUCCCACUGCCCACAACUAGUUGAGGAAUCACUGGCGACAUAUUCCAUCAGUAGCAUCGUCCAGUGCAUGAUGGGACAGACAGAGGGCGAGGAAAUCCUCCCCCGGAGACUCGUACAGAUGACCAGACCCAUAGUGUUACUACACCAGCGAUUUUUUUUCUUUUUUCCCUCGAACACAGUAGCUUACUACUGAAAAGCCAUGUACAAAAAAAAAAAAAAAAAAAAAAAAAAAAAAAAAAGCCUGGCUGUGGCUUCAGCCCAUUGUUAUUCCUUCCUUCCUUGUACACUCAAAAACUGAAAGUUGUUCAGAGUCUCAUUUUUAAAAAAAAAAAAAAAUCCUUUGUAAUGCAUCUUUGAGAAAAAUCCAGGGUUCAGCGCACCACCAUGAACCCUUUGCUCCAGCCUUGUCCUGUCAUUGCAAACAGCAGGCAUGCUGGCCGAGAGGAGAAGCCCUGUGGGAGAGGAGGGGAGACUGAUAAUCAGGCCUACUGCAUGGUAGUUUACCUCACUUCAUGAAUCGUUUCCCAGGAGCUUCUAACCGAAGCAGAGAUGGUGACAGUCAGCUACAGGACACCAGACCUGAUUUCUGUCUUUGACAUCUACCAGUUUUCACAUGAUACCUGGGGGAGGGGGACUCCAAAAAUUCUAAUGUGAGCACCAUUUAUUAUACCCUAGAAGAAUAUUUUUAAUCAUUCUUUUGCUUGUUUUGUAAAAAAAAAAAAGUAUUAAAGUGCUUGGAAUUCUUUAACUGUGGUCCCUUGGAAUGUAAUCAACAAAAAUUCUAACCUCCAACAGUCUGAUCUCACUUUGGACAUUCAUAAUAAAAGCUGAAAC